rnacentral:rRNA from 1 species
UACGGAGGGAGCUAGCGUUGUUCGGAAUCACUGGGCGUAAAGCGCACGUAGGCGGCUAUUCAAGUCAGAGGUGAAAGCCCGGGGCUCAACCCCGGAACUGCCUUUGAAACUAGAUAGCUAGAAUCUUGGAGAGGCGAGUGGAAUUCCGAGUGUAGAGGUGAAAUUCGUAGAUAUUCGGAAGAACACCAGUGGCGAAGGCGACUCGCUGGACAAGUAUUGACGCUGAGGUGCGAAAGCGUGGGGAGCAAACAGG